GCGACACUAACUCAGUGGGCAGAGCACAACCUUGCCAAGGUUGAGGUCACGACCGGUUCCGUAAAGAUCAGGAAUCUCGUGUGUCGCU
rnacentral:tRNA from 1 species